AUUGAACGCUGGCGGCAGGCCUAACACAUGCAAGUCGAGCGGAUGAAGGGAGCUUGCUCCUGGAUUCAGCGGCGGACGGGUGAGCAAUGCCUAGGAAUCUGCCUGGUAGUGGGGGAUAACGUCCGGAAACGGGCGCUAAUACCGCAUACGUCCUGAGGGAGAAAGUGUGGGAUCUUCGGACCUCACGCUAUCAGAUGAGCCUAGGUCGGAUUAGCUAGUUGGUGGGGUAAAGGCCUACCAAGGCGACGAUCCGUAACUGGUCUGAGAGGAUGAUCAGUCACACUGGAACUGAGACACGGUCCAGACUCCUACGGGAGGCAGCAGUGGGGAAUAUUGGACAAUGGGCGAAAGCCUGAUCCAGCCAUGCCGCGUGUGUGAAGAAGGUCUUCGGAUUGUAAAGCACUUUAAGUUGGGAGGAAGGGCAGUAAGUUAAUACCUUGCUGUUUUGACGUUACCAACAGAAUAAGCACCGGCUAACUUCGUG
rnacentral:rRNA from 1 species